rnacentral:rRNA from 1 species
AUGUUUCAGAAGCAAUUGUCUUCAUACGUUGUAAGUUGGGGUGCUUAUGCGGGGAGGAUAAUGAUUGUACAAGGCAAUUUGAGAUCUCAUUUAAGUUUGCUAAAAAUAUGGAACUUGUGUCAAGUAGAUUCUCAGCGUAGAACAAAUCUUCAAUUGUUGUAUUAUUAUCAGUUGUUGCCAUGGGCAGUUUUGAUCUUUGUUACAUGUUUCCAAACAACAACCGAUGCAAUAAAGAUCCACACACCACAAGUACACAAAUCCCACACCAAUCACGUCACACUAUGUCACCAAUGGAAUGAAUCGAGCUGCGAGCAUCUUGCUCCAGAGUACAAUCAUAGUUCAUCUGUAGCCGUUCUGUUCAUACGUCGGCGGCUUCGGCCCGAGCAGGCUGGUCAUCAUCCUGAGCACACAGCACAAAGCAGCACCCAAAUCCCCCAAACAACAAACGGGUCAGUCAGUUGCUUCCCCGGUCUUUCCGCAGUAAAUUUCGUAAGAGUGCGCACACUUGCCUUUCUCUCGGCCUUGCCACGAUCUGGUUACGCUCCGCCGCCGCCCCUGUCGUGGUCGCGGGUCUUGGAGGCUGCUCCCCUACUCUGGGGACGGUCUUCACCUGAAAGACAAGAUGAUAUUGGUCAUUGA